CGGCAAAGAGGCCUAGGAUCGGCAAGGCCUGCAAACUGCAGAGCUCUUCUCUCCCCGCCUCUCAGCUGAUUGGUGGGUGGGCGGGGCUUCCAGAGAGGCCUCCGAGUAGGCCUCCCUGAAGCCUGAACUCGAGUAGGCCCCAAGCAAGGAAGGAAGGAAGGAGGAAGCAGGCAGCAGACCCUCUGCCCAGACCAGACCAUCCAGAACAGCUAUUGCUAGAUUGUGUAGUUCCUAUAUUUACAGUAAAACUAUGAAAAAACUUGAAUACAGAAAAUGAGAGCAAUAUGAACCUCAGUGAAACUCGGGAGCAUUUGUGGUGUCUGUAUCUCCGGAAUUUACAUAAGAUGAGAGAGGGUGCUUUAAGAACUACAGGUGACCACAUGUGCUCUGAAUCUUUGCGUAUCUUGACUGAUUAAAUCAAGCAAACCUUGUCAAGCUCACUUGCUGAGGCAAUAGGAAGAAAUCGUUUGAUCACAGGGAACCUAUAAGGAUGGUUUGAUUCUUCUCCAUCUGAGCAGGCUCCAAAGCAGUCUCGGCAGAAGAGGGGAAAUGCUGCAGAAGUUUGAUAAACUGGAAGUGUGCAACAACAAACUUAAAUGUUUUGGGUUUUUUUAAAGACACUCUUUGUGGGGAAAUGGGGAAGAUGGGAGGCAGGGGAGGCACAGUCAAUCAGCUGACAAUGUUCUACCCCCUACUGUGGAUGAAAGUAGCAGAUAUAAAAUUCUAAAGAAACUCAGCUCUUUGCAACUGGCUGAUUUGUUAACUCUGCUAGCACGUUAUGGGCUCAGUCACACUGGAGGAGAAUUAAUAACUGCAAACUAAAAAUGGGAAUCUGUCUGGCCUACACAAAACACAGAGAGGUGCAACAGUGAGAGACCACAUCCCACUGAUCAGAAGGAAGGAUGGCAAGGAGUCGAGAUAUUAAAUUUGCAGUGGCAAUACUUGCUCGUAACAGUAAAGCAUUCUAAAGAAACUCA